CCUACGGGUGGCAGCAGUGAGGAAUAUUGGUCAAUGGACGAGAGUCUGAACCAGCCACGUCGCGUGAAGGAUGACUGCCCUAUGGGUUGUAAACUUCUUUUAUAUGGGAAUAAAACGUUCCACGUGUGGGGUUUUGUAUGUACCAUAUGAAUAAGGAUCGGCUAACUCCGUGCCAGCAGCCGCGGUAAUACGGAGGAUCCGAGCGUUAUCCGGAUUUAUUGGGUUUAAAGGGAGCGUAGGUGGAUUGUUAAGUCAGUUGUGAAAGUUUGCGGCGCAACCGUAAAAUUGCAGUUGAAACUGGCAGUCUUGAGUACAGGAGAGGUGGGCGGAAUUCGUGGUGUAGCGGUGAAAUGCUUAGAUAUCACGAAGAACUCCGAUUGCGAAGGCAGUUCACUGGACUGCAACUGACACUGAGGCGCGAAAGUGUGGGUAUCAAACAGGAUUAGAUACCCCAGUAGUC
rnacentral:rRNA from 1 species